UUUUUUACACAUCAUUGAGACCACCUUCAACAACUUCCUUCUUCUCUUCUCCUUCUUCCUUAAAUUUCUCAAAAACUAACCGUCUCACUGUAAGCUAGUUUCUCUAAUGGAGACCAAAGAUUUAACCCAUGAUGGGACUGUGGACCUUCGUGGCAGCCAGUUCUUGCUUCCAAGACUGGCAAAUGGAAAGCUUGUGCUUUUCUUGUAGGAUAUGAAGCGUUCGAAAGGAUGGCAUUUUAUGGUAUAGCUUCGAAUUUAGUGAAUUAUCUGACAACUCAACUUCAUGAAGACACGGUUUCUUCGAUUAGAAAUGUAAAUAAUUGGUCAGGAUCCAUUUGGCUAACUCCCAUCUUUGGUGCUUAUAUAGUUGAUUCUUUCCUUGGUCGUUUUUGGACUUUCACCUUUUCCUCUGUCAUCUAUAUCAUGGUUUUCACGCCAACCACUCUUUUGUUUGCUAGUGCUUUAUCUUGCCUAGUCUUGCUACAUCGGUCAUCAGGUCGGGUGGGGAGAAAACUCUUCAGGAAAGAAUUCAAUUCUUGAAGAAAAGCAAAGGUAUGUUAUCGAGUGAAUUAUGAGCAAUCCUCAAAGAUUUAAGGCUAGAGAACUCAAUACUUAGAAUCGGAAGCUGCCCUUUUAAGGUAAGAUAGUUAAGACAAUUUUAAGCAACUUUGUAGAAGAAAGUUUCUUCAUUUGGUGAAUGGAUGUCUAGUUAUGAGCUUUGGAAGUUGAAUUUUAUUUUUGAAACCCAUAGGACUUUUGGGCAAAAGGAUGGUAUGGCUAAGCGUUGGUUAAGCGUCAAGGAAGCCAUGCGCGGUGCUGAAUGUGAAGAGUAUGUUAAGCACACAUUAAGCUAGCCCAACACAUAGUCAAGCGACAUGAGGCACGCGCCAGAGCUAUGUAGUAGGUUGUGUGCCCAUGAUGCUCAAGACGAAACAUAGCCCAGCAGCCGUGGGACGCAACAAGGCCUCUUGUGAGGUUAGCACACAGCCAGGCACCUUUAUGGGGCUUGUGCGCAUGUGUGUAGCCUCUGCCACCCAUGCCAUGUGCCAACUAAUGGCUAAGUGUCAUUUUAGGUAACUUUUGGUGUUUUUGCCAAAAUUUUAGAAACAUUCACUUUGUUUUUCCCAAUUCCAUUUUGAUUCUCACAAGUCAUGAAUCUCAAUUACUCAAUGAAUAUGAGUGGUUCCAAGUGGUGGGAUCUUCAAUUUAGCGCUUUGUAGAAAUGAGAGAUGACAACAAGAGUAAAACUUCUUAUACUUUGUAUUUCUAUUGUUUAGUUCAAAUGCAUGCUUAGCCCUUAAUUUGA